rnacentral:rRNA from 1 species
UUAUAUAAUUAAAGUUAUAUUUAAGUAGAAAGUUUAAUAAUAAUAAAAAAAAAUUUAUAUUUUAUAAAGUAGAGUAAUGUAAGUGAAUAAAAUAAUAAAUUUUAAAGAAAAUUUAAAUUAUUGUAUCUUUUGUAUCAGAGUUUAUUAAAUAAAAAUUUAUAAAAAAUUAAAAAUUUCGAAUUUAAAAGAGUUAAUAAAUUAUAAAAGUUAAAGUAAAAAAAUUAUUUUAAAUUAUUUAUUAGAUAAGAUAUUUAAUUCAAUUUUAAAGAUAUUUAAUUUAUUUUGAAUUAAAUUUAAUUUAGAUAUAUAAAAUAUAAUUUUUUUAAUUUGAAAAAAAUUAAUAAUAAUAUAUUAAGAAAUUAUGGGAUAAUCUAUAAUUUAAUUUAUAAUUUUGAAUAGAUAAAUAAAAAUUUUAUAUAGUCAUGUAAUUAGAUUUUAUAAUUAAAAAUUUAAUAAUUUAUAAAGAAAAAAAAAUUAGAUUUUAAAUAUAUAAAAAAUUUAAUUAAAUAGAAAUAUAUUUAUAAAAAUGAAGUUUAUAAAGAAAAAAUGGUAAAAUUAGUAAUAGAAAAUAAUAUAAAAUAUAUAUAAAAAUUUAAAAAUAAAUUAAAGGAAUUAGGCAAAAUAUAUUUAAUUCACCUGUUUAACAAAAACAUGUUUUUUUGAUAUAAUAAUUUAAAAUUUAUUCUGCUCAAUGAAAGUAUUUAAAUAGCCGCAGUAAAAUAACUGUGCAAAGGUAGCAUAAUCAAUUGUUUUUUAAAUGAAGACUAGAAUGAAGGAAUUAAUGAAAUUUUAACUUUCUAUAAUUUAAAUAAUUAAUUUUUUAAUUAAGUAAGAAUACUUAAAUAAAUUUAUGGGACGAGAAGACCCUAUAGAAUUUUAUAUUAAAUUAAUAAAAUUUUGUAAGUUUAAUAUUUUAUUGGGAGGAUAAUUAAAUAAAAUUAACUUUAAUAAAAAUAAAAACAAAAAUUAAUGAAAAUAAAGAAUAUAAAAAUAUAAUAGAAUUAAUUACCUUAGGGAUAACAGCAUAAUAUUUUUUUUAAGAUCAUAUUUAAAAAAAAGUUUAUGACCUCGAUGUUGAAUUAAGAUAAAAUUUAAAAGGAGAAUUUUAAAAAUUAAGUCUGUUCGACUUUUUAAAUCUUACAUGAUUUGAGUUCAGAUCGGUGUAAGCCAGAUCGGUUUCUAUCUAUAAAAAAAAAUAAUUUGAUUGUACGAAAGGACUUUAAAUUAAAAAAAAUUUUUAAAGAAUUGAUUAAUA